GGCCGCGUGGCCUAAUGGUAAGGCGCUUGACUACGAAUCAAGAGAUUCCAGGUUCGACCCCUGGCGUGGUCA